GAUAGCAGGAGUUUCAGUGGUACAGUAAUUUGGGACCCACAGACAGAGAAACAAGCUUGGAAGAAUCACUAAGCCAAACAGGUAUCCUGAGCAACUGGAACAAGGCCCAGGGCAGGAACAAUCUCUGUGUCUGUUCCUCCUUUCGAGCAUUCCCACCAGGAUUUCCAGGACUAGGCCUGCACGCCUCUUCCCACCCCUCACCCUGGAGUCAGACUGAUGGUGUCGGGCACUGUUAUCCUUUGCCCCUAGGGAGGGGGCAUAGGUGAAGCUAGGCUACUUCCCAAGUUGCCCCCUUCACCCACACCACAUUGAAAGGGAAUAGAAAAGGUGACGGUCUUGGGUCACAGUGCUGACAAAAGGCCAGUGGACAUAGGACAGAGUCCUGUGUCUCCUUGCUGGGCCCAGCCAGAAAGUGACUAGCUAUAGGCUUGGGAACCUCAAAGGCAUUUAGGAUAGUUAAGCUCCACCUGGUAAUUACCCAGUAUUAAUUAAAAUCAGCACUAAGACCUCUCAUAUUGGCUUGGCACACACCCAGGAGCUCAGUGCUGCUGGGAACUGAGCUUCUGGAAAUAGGAGCAACCGAUCCCCACUGGUACAGAAGCCACCCACGCUCUACUCCAGGACUGCCUUUAUUCAAGCUUGUCCAGCUGCACCAUUGGAGGUUACUGUGGCAACCAGACCCACAGGCAGCCAGUAAUCAGGAAACAGCUGCCAACAGUAAGUGAUGGUGGAUGAAAAGGCCAAAAACAGAGACCCUCAAAAGCAAGAGAAAUAGACUGUGGUAGAGAAGAGGAGGCCCCAGAGUGCUGACAGGUGCUCAGCUCCAAGCCAGUCCCAGAAGUCACUACCCAGCAGACAGUCAAAUCCUGCACAGACUGCCACACCACCAACCACAGGCAGACAUGAACACAAUGAUUUUACAACUAUGGAUGCACAGUAACACAGGUGGGGCACAUGGUUAGCCCAACAGCAGUGGGUCUGGUAAAAAUGAACAUGGAUAAGGCACCAACUACUAUGUCCAACGAAACAGUGGAUUUCAUGUACUCUUGAGUGAACUCACAACCCUGCAAUCAAGACCCGAGGAAAAAGGGAAACACCCCAAAUCCCCCAGACUCCUCUGGAAGGCUGCUCUUGGCCCAGACCUCCCAGCUUAUACUCCUCUGCCCUCUGAUACCUUCUGCCUACUGCAGGUAGGGUAGGAGACUCAGCCCCAACAAAAACACCUCCCUCUUCUCUACCCAAAGGGGAUCUCUAAGCCACUCCAUUCCCCUACUUGUCUCCUGGGACCCAGUGGUCACCUGAUCACCUCUGCACACCAACUCCUCUGGUCCAGUCUUCCCAGCUUAUUUAGU